GUAUCUAAUCCCUUUCGCUCCCCUAGCUUUCGUCCCUCAGUGUCAGUUGCGGCCUAGCAGAGCGCUUUCGCCACCGGUGUUCUUCCCAAUAUCUACGCAUUUCACCGCUACACUGGGAAUUCCCUCUGCCCCUACCGCACUCAAGCUCUAUAGUUUCCACUGCCGAUCCACAGUUAAGCUGUGGGCUUUGACAGCAGACUUAUAAAGCCACCUACGGACGCUUUACGCCCAAUAAAUCCGGAUAACGCUUGCAUCCUCCGUAUUACCGCGGCUGCUGGCACGGAGUUAGCCGAUGCUGAUUCCUCAGGUACCGUCAGAUCUUCUUCCCUGAGAAAAGAGGUUUACAACCCACAGGCAUUCCUCCCUCACGCGGGCGUUGCUCCGUCAGGCUUUCGCCCAUUGCGGAAAAUUCCCCACUGCUGCCUCCCGUAGGAGUCUGGGCCGUGUCUCAGUCCCAGUGGUGGCUGAUCAUCCUCUCAGACCAGCUACUGAUCACCGCCUUGGUAGGCUCUUACCCCACCAACUAGCUAAUCAGACGCGAGCUCAUCNUCAGGCACUAAAGCUUUUACCUCUCGGCUCAUCCGGUAUUAGCAACCGUUUCCAGCUGUUAUCCCAGACCUGAAGGCAGAUUCUCACGCGUUACUCACCCGUCCGCCACUAGAAUCCGAAGAUCCUCGUUCGAC
rnacentral:rRNA from 1 species